rnacentral:tRNA from 52 species
GCGGAUAUGGUCGAAUGGUAAAAUUUCUCUUUGCCAAGGAGAAGAUGCGGGUUCGAUUCCCGCUAUCC